GGUAAAGAACCAAUGUAAUGUAAAGAAUGAUGAAAAUGAUCAUGAGUAAGAUUAAAGUAAAGUGGGGCAAUAAGAACAAGAAUUGUAACGAAUAAGAAUGCUAGAGUUAGCAAGAGUAGAGAAAUGUAAAGAAUGUGAUUGCAUGAGUUUGCAACAUAAAGUGAUGAAAGAACACUAGAGCUAGUGUAAAGUCAAGAUUGAACUUAUAAAUCCUUUGAGUUAAGGAUAUGAUCAUACU
rnacentral:lncRNA from 1 species